GUGGGGAAUCUUGCGCAAUGGGCGAAAGCCUGACGCAGCCAUGCCGCGUGAAUGAUGAAGGUCUUAGGAUUGUAGAAUUCUUUCACCGGGGACGAUAAUGACGGUACCCGGAGAAGAAGCCCCGGCUAACUUCGUGCCAGCAGCCGCGGUAAUACGAAGGGGGCUAGCGUUGCUCGGAAUUACUGGGCGUAAAGGGCGCGUAGGCGGACAGUUUAGUCAGAGGUGAAAGCCCAGGGCUCAACCUUGGAAUUGCCUUUGAUACUGGCUGUCUUGAGUACGGGAGAGGUGAGUGGAACUCCGAGUGUAGAGGUGAAAUUCGUAGAUAUUCGGAAGAACACCAGUGGCGAAGGCGACUCACUGGCCCGUUACUGACGCUGAGGCGCGAAAGCGUGGGGAGCAAACAGGAUUAGAUACCCGAGUAGUCC
rnacentral:rRNA from 1 species